rnacentral:lncRNA from 1 species
GCUGGCUGCUGUCGCGUCGUGGAGGCGGGGCUGGCUGACUGGGGGUCAUUUGGGGUGAGGAUAACUGGUUGUUGACUGGUGGGCUGUGGUGGUGGUUAUCCUAAGAUUUUUGUUUGGUUCUUUGAAGAAGAAGACUUAGUCUUCAUUGUAGUCUGUAGUGUCAAGUCAAAAAAUCUGAAAGAAAAUGAAGUGUGUCUUCUAAGGCUGUAUCCGGUUCCGAUUCUGGGUCUAUUUGGGUCUGUGGUUCCGGUUCUGGCGGUUCCGGAACCGCGGUUCUGGCGGUUCCCGAUGGUUCUGAUUUUUUUUUUUUAAAAUCAAUAUCUUGUAUUGUAGUCAUUAGUAUAUUGUAGAAU